CCUACGGGGCGCAGCAGUGGGGAAUUUUGGACAAUGGGCGCAAGCCUGAUCCAGCUAUUCCGCGUGUGGGAUGAAGGCCCUCGGGUUGUAAACCACUUUUGUAGAGAACGAAAAGACACCUUUUAAUAAAGGGUGUUGCUGACGGUACUCUAAGAAUAAGCACCGGCUAACUACGUGCCAGCAGCCGCGGUAAUACGUAGGGUGCGAGCGUUAAUCGGAAUUACUGGGCGUAAAGGGAGCGCAGGCGGGUGAGUAAGAAAGAUGUGUAAUCCACGAGCUUAACGCGGGAA
rnacentral:rRNA from 1 species